rfam:Staphylococcus aureus subsp. aureus NCTC 8325, complete genome.
CUAAUGCGACCUCUGCUUGUUCAGGAUUAAUAAAAUGAACAUGAGUAUCAAUACCACCAGCAGUGACGAUUUUACCUUCAGCGGCAAUGAUAUCUGUUGUUGAACCUAUAAUAAUGUCGACAUUAUCCAUUAUAUCUGGGUUGCCGGCAUUACCUAUGGCGAAAAUAUAACCAUUUUUAAUGCCUAUAUCAGCUUUAACCACUUUAUCGUAAUCGAUAAUAACGGCAUUAGAAAUGACAAGGUCUGCAACGUUCACGUCAUCACGUGUUACACGAGGAUUUUGCGCCAUACCGUCUCUAAUAG